CUUUUUUUAUUAUCAUUUAUCACAUUUCAUAACACCUUUUAAGCAAUUUCAGAUUUCUUCUCCUUUUAUGCCCAUGCCUGAACUCUGGUGUCUUAACUGGACAUAAAAAUUCCAGGGACAAAUUGUUAGAGAGCUUGUUCCUUCUACUGCAAGUGUAUUACUUAAGGCUUCCAAGAAUUCAGAUGAUGGCAAUGAUAUGGAAGUCUUAUUGAGUGGGGUACCUGGCUCAAGCAAGAGGCGGCCAAGGGGAAUGUUCCUCUCUUUAAUGUUAUUGUUCAAUAGUCGAACCAGAACUAUUGCAGUUAUCAUGUCAUAUCAGCUUCACAUCUGCAAAUGUAAUGCUUGGAAACUCUUAUACGGUGAUUCAUUAUUGUUAAUGGUUUCUGUAUCCACCAGAUUUCUGGAGAGUUUGAUUUUACCAGAAGUUGAGUUAUUCAGUGGUCAUUACGGCCCUUUGGGCCAUUGAAACUGGAUACAGAGAGAGUUUUUUUCCACCGCCUGGAAGAUGGCAAUGAAACCCCGCUUGAGUUACAGGAGGCUUGCAGAAGAUGGGGCGGUGAGAGUUUUGGCGAAUGUUGUGGGUCGCUCCAAGAAAUUGCCAAUCGAUGUCUCAGAGAAAGCUUCAGACGAAGAGCUCAAAAAUGCUGAAGUAACAUUUCUGCGUGUCCUUGAGCUUGAAAUUGAAUUUUUGAACAUGAGCCAUGGGGGGCCCUAAAUGAGUUGGUUAGCCUGAAAACCUGACGGAAAAGAAAAUGCAGUCUCGAAUUAUUGGAGAUCAAGACAUACGGUGCUCAUCAGAGAGACGUUGUGGUAGGAACGUCCACGUGGGUAUUGCUCAAUAUUAUAUUAUUGUAAGUCGUAGUUUUUAAAACUUUUAUGAUUUUUAAUCAUUUUAUACCGUUAUUUACACUUCAGCCCUUAAAGUUCAUUUCUAUUGUGUCUUGAUCCCUAGUUCUCAUGAUUGGAGCAUUAGUCUUCAAAC